rnacentral:rRNA from 1 species
AUUGAACGCUGGCGGCAGGCCUAACACAUGCAAGUCGAGCGGAUGACGGGAGCUUGCUCCUUGAUUCAGCGGCGGACGGGUGAGUAAUGCCUAGGAAUCUGCCUGAUAGUGGGGGACAACGUUUCGAAAGGAACGCUAAUACCGCAUACGUCCUACGGGAGAAAGCAGGGGACCUUCGGGCCUUGCGCUAUCAGAUGAGCCUAGGUCGGAUUAGCUAGUUGGUGGGGUAAUGGCUCACCAAGGCGACGAUCCGUAACCGGUCGGCGAGGAUGAUCAGUCACCAUGGAACUGAGACACGGUCCAGACUCCUACGGGAGGCAGCAGUGGGGAAUAUUGGACAAUGGGCGAAAGCCUGAUCCAGCCAUGCCGCGUGUGUGAAGAAGGUCUUCGGAUUGUAAAGCACUUUAAGUUGGGAGGAAGGGCAGUAAGUUAAUACCUUGCUGUUUUGACGUUACCGACAGAAUAAGCACCGGCUAACUCUGUGCCAGCCGCCGCAAUAAAAC